CUUCAGCGAGCCCAGCCAGAGGUGGUGGUCCGCGGCCCGCUCCUGCCCGUAGGUGGCGAGAAGGGACUGCGCCUC
rnacentral:antisense_RNA from 1 species